GUCCACGCCCUAACGAUGAGUGCUAGAUAUCGGGAGUAUCGACCCUCCCGGUGUCGUUGUUACAAGCUAACGCGUUAAGCACUCCGCCUGGGAGUACGGCCGCAAGGCUAAACUCAAAGGAAUAGACGGGGACCCGCACAAGCGGUGGAACAUGUGGUUCAAUUCGUCAACAAACGAGAAACCUUACCAGGGCUUGACAUUCUGCUGCUAGCGCACGGAAACGUGUGAUCUUCGAGAGUGCAGAACAGGUGCUGCAUGGCUGUCGU
rnacentral:rRNA from 1 species